rnacentral:rRNA from 1 species
CACGUAGGGGGCUAGCGUUGUCCGGAUUUAUUGGGCGUAAAGAGCGUGUAGGCGGCCAAACAGGUCAGCUGUGAAAACUCGAGGCUCAACCUCGAGACGUCGGUUGAAACCGUAUGGCUAGAGUCCGGAAGAGGAGAGUGGAAUUCCCGGUGUAGCGGUGAAAUGCGCAGAUAUCGGGAAGAACACCCGAGGCGAAGGCGGCACUCUGGGACGGUACUGACGCUGAGACGCGAAAGCGUGGGGAGCAAACAGG